GCUGAGGAGAGAAAUAAAUUCAUAAACAACAAAGGAGACGUGACGUCAUGUCGAGGGGCCGUCCAACCUGCUGGCUGAAUCUCUGCUUCCACGGAAGAGCCGGAUCGUUCACACCACGUGUGUUUGCGUGUGUGUACUGUAUGUGUGUACUGUCUGUGUGUGUGCGUGGCCUUUGUGCUAUCUUCCAGAAAAGUCUUGUGGACUUUGAGCAAAGAAGCUGGAGUUGGAUGGCAGGGUUUUGUGUCUGCAGUGAGCGAUCCGGGACAAGGGGAAGCCUUCCAAUACUUUGCUUGCGUCUCAUUCAGUCCGUUUCUAGGACUAUUUAUCCAGCAGCUGCAAUAAGGAAUUAGCCGUUCUAUGUUUUAUAGAAGCAAGAUUUACUUUUUUCUCUUCAAAUAGUCAAUAGUAAGUUGGGGGAAAAAAAAAUUGCAAUUAAAAUUUUUAAAAAUAUUGAUUUUUACUUUAGAAUCGACUCCAGCAUCUUCAAAAUGAUACAAGCUCAGAGGUGAGCUCUGAUUGGUUGGCUUGUCUCGGGACAGCAGCUCAAACGCCAGUGAUUGGCUGCAAUAGAUAAGGUUGGCCAUGUAUGAGUAAACUGAUUUCCUCUUUUAAUGAUUGACAUAAUACAGUAUCUUCAAAGUGCUGAUUGCUGUUCCGCUCACAUUGAUGCAAGAAGGGAAACAGAGAUGUAGGAAUUUGCCAAGGACCAAAAGAAGAAGGGAGAAAAAAAGUGAAAUUCCUCGGAAUAUCCUUCCUGCUUGCCCACCAAUUCAGUUUCUCAAACACCUCAAAAUUCCUCCCCCCUCUCUUCUGGGCUCAGAUGGAGGAGAGAGACUGAAAGAAGAGGGCAGAACUGGGGUUCUGGACAGAGACUGAUCAGAGUAUUUUUUUUUUUCUAUUUAUUUUAAUUUCCUGACUGUGAAAAUGUGUCGAGAUGCAGCGAGAUGGCAGAAAUGUCUGGACGCGCUGGUGUCGCACUCCCCACGUGCUUCCUGAUGUCGGAUGAUUAACAUGCAAAUCAUGUCCCCUCCCUUCCUUCUUCAAUGUCCUCCCCACAACGCAACCCCCCGCCGCCCAAUUCCGCCCUCCCUUUUCUCCGCUUCCCUCUUGGCAGAGGUGCCAAAGUGGGCAGGCAGACCGAGGCAAACGCAUCACGGGGCAGAGCAGAGGGCGAACCAAAAGCUGGCUAAUUGAUCAUGUGUGUGUUUGUGUUUUGGUCUGCCCUCGCUCUCUUUCUGUAUGUGUCUGUUCCCAAGUUAGACUCCGGUUUGGUGACACGCUGCUGCAAGUAAGGGCUGUGUGAGAGCAGACGUCCCUCUGUUACUCUCUGUACGGACGGACGUACUCACGCCAGUAGGAGGGGAUUGUGGGAAAGGGGGUGUAGCUCUCAGAGGGUGCGCUCUACUCCUCUCGCUUCCCUUCUUCCCGCCAUCACGGCCCUCUUUUCAGCCAGUCGUCCGGCCAAGCCAGCCCGUCCGCCCGCCCGCCUCACCACAUACAGGCCUCAGGAGAGUGACAUUUGUGGAUCUUUGGUGUGGACGCAGCAUAGAUUGUGUCCUUGGGGCUGAGGUAGUAGAUUGAAUAGUUGUGGGGUUCUUUAACCUCUUUUUCAGAUAACUAUACAAUCUACUGUCUUUCCCAAGGAGACAGCUGAGCCAACCAGUCGUCAACUAUCGUCUAAAGAUGGACAAUACUGUUGCCUUGUCAAAAUGCAUGCAGUAAUUGAUUUAAUAUCUAUAGAGAGAGGGUUAUUUUUAUUACUUCCUCAAUCAGUUUAUGUGCGGUGUGUUUGACUUGGGUUCUGUCAGGGUGAGGUAGUAGGUUGUAUAGUUUGGUAGGUGGGACUGCACCCUGCUGAGGUGAUAACUAUACAGUCUAUUGCCUUCCCUGAGGAGUCCACUGAACAGUUCAACACAAUCUCUUUGCUGGAGUGCUUUAUUAUUAUUAUUAUUUUUUUUUACAGACAACAUAAAGAAUAGGUAAAUGUCUUACAGGAGGAUUUAUAUGUAUUUUAUAGCUUUUUUUGUGUGUGGACAAAAGUUGUUACAUGCUUUAAAUAUGUACAUCUCAAUAAAACUAGUCUUCUC